GCAGUCGCCGCGGUAAUACGGAGGGAGCUAGCGUUGUUCGGAAUCACUGGGCGUAAAGCGCACGUAGGCGGCUAUUCAAGUCAGGGGUGAAAGCCCGGGGCUCAACCCCGGAACUGCCUUUGAAACUAGAUAGCUUGAAUCUUGGAGAGGCGAGUGGAAUUCCGAGUGUAGAGGUGAAAUUCGUAGAUAUUCGGAAGAACACCAGUGGCGAAGGCGACUCGCUGGACAAGUAUUGACGCUGAGGUGCGAAAGCGUGGGGAGCAAACAGGAUUAGAUACCCCUGUAGUCCCUGUCUCUUAUAC
rnacentral:rRNA from 1 species